CCAGCUCCAAUAGCGUAUAUUAAAGUUGUUGCAGUUAAAAAGCUCGUAGUUGAAUUUCCGGGCUCGUGUGGUGGUCGCCGCAAGGCUGUACUGCUGGACGGGCUCAGACCUUUUUCCGAAGACUUUGCGUGCUCUUUACUGAGAUGCGUACGGGACUCGGGACUUUUACUUUGAAAAAAUUAGAGUGUUCAAAGCAGGCAUUUCGCUUGAAUACAUUAGCAUGGAAUAAUGGAAUAGGACUUUGGUCUUAUUUUGUUGGUUUCUAGGACUGAAGUAAUGAUUGAUAGGGACAGUUGGGGGCAUUAGUAUUUAAUUGUCAGAGGUGAAAUUCUUGGAUUUAUGAAAGACUAACUUCUGCGAAAGCAUUUGCCAAGGAUGUUUUCAUUAAUCAAGAACGAAAGAUAGGGGAUCGAAGACGAUUAGAUACCGUCGUAGUCCUAUCCAUAAACUAUGCCGACUAGGGAUCAGUGGGUGUGUUUAAAGACCCCAUUGGCACCUUAUGAGAAAUCAAAGUUUUUGGGUUCUGGGGGGUGUAUGGUCGCAAGGCUGAAACUUAAAGGAAUUGACGGAAGGGCACCACCAGGAGUGGAGCCUGCGGCUUAAUUCGACUCAAC
rnacentral:rRNA from 1 species